rnacentral:rRNA from 1 species
UGGGGAAUCUUCCGCAAUGGGCGAAAGCCUGACGGAGCAACGCCGCGUGAGUGAAGACGGCCUUCGGGUUGUAAAACUCUGUGAUUCGGGACGAAAGAUAAGUAGACGAAUAAUCUGCAUAAGUGACGGUACCGAAAAAGAAAGCCACGGCUAACUACGUGCCAGCAGCCGCGGUAAUACGUAGGUGGCAAGCGUUGUCCGGAAUUAUUGGGCGUAAAGCGCGCGCAGGCGGCUACUUAAGUCCAUCUUAAAAGUGCGGGGCUUAACCCCGUGUUGGGAUGGAAACUGAGAAGCUGGAGUGUCGGAGAGGAAAGUGGAAUUCCUAGUGUAGCGGUGAAAUGCGUAGAGAUUAGGAAGAACACCGGUGGCGAAGGCGACUUUCUGGACGGCAACUGACGCUUAGGCGCGAAAGCGUGGGGAGCAAACAGG